AACGAACGCUGGCGGCAGGCUUAACACAUGCAAGUCGAACGCAUCGCAAGAUGAGUGGCAGACGGGUGAGUAACGCGUGGGAAUCUACCCAGUUCUACGGAACAACAGUUGGAAACGACUGCUAAUACCGUAUACGCCCUACGGGGGAAAGGUUUAUCGGAAUUGGAUGAGCCCGCGUAAGAUUAGCUAGUUGGUGGGGUAAUGGCCUACCAAGGCGACGAUCUUUAGCUGGUCUGAGAGGAUGAUCAGCCACACUGGGACUGAGACACGGCCCAGGCUCCUACGGGAGGCAGCAGUGGGGAAUAUUGGACAAUGGGCGCAAGCCUGAUCCAGCCAUGCCGCGUGAGUGAUGAAGGCCUUAGGGUUGUAAAGCUCUUUCACCGAUGAAGAUAAUGACGGUAGUCGGAGAAGAAGCCCCGGCUAACUUCGUGCCAGCCGCCGCCGUAAUAC
rnacentral:rRNA from 1 species